rnacentral:rRNA from 1 species
AUUGAACGCUGGCGGCAUGCUUUACACAUGCAAGUCGAACGGUAACAGGCCGCAAGGUGCUGACGAGUGGCGAACGGGUGAGUAAUGCAUCGGAACGUGCCCUGUCGUGGGGGAUAACGCAGCGAAAGCUGCGCUAAUACCGCAUACGAUCUAUGGGUGAAAGCGAGGGACCGUAAGGCCUCGCGCGACUGUAGCGGCCGAUGUCAGAUUAGGUAGUUGGGGGGGUAAAGGCUCACCAAGCCAACGAUCUGUAGCUGGUCGGAGAGGACGAGCAGCAACACUAGGACUGAGACACGGCCCAGACUCCUACGGGAGGGAGCAGUGGGGAAUUUUGGACAAUGGGCGAAAGCCUGAGCCAGCAAUGCCGCGUGCAGGAAGAAGGCCUUCGGGUUGUAAACUGCUUUUGUACGGAACGAAACGGUCCUGGUGAAUACCUGGGGCUGAAGACGGUACAGUAAGAAUAAGCACCGGCUAACUACGUGCCAGCCGCCGCAGUAAAAC